UAGGGAAUCUUCGGCAAUGGACGAAAGUCUGACCGAGCAACGCCGCGUGAGUGAAGAAGGUUUUCGGAUCGUAAAACUCUGUUGGUAGAGAAGAACGUUGGUGAGAGUGGAAAGCUCAUCAAGUGACGGUAACUACCCAGAAAGGGACGGCUAACUACGUGCCAGCAGCCGCGGUAAUACGUAGGUCCCGAGCGUUGUCCGGAUUUAUUGGGCGUAAAGCGAGCGCAGGUGGUUUAUUAAGUCUGGUGUAAAAGGCAGUGGCUCAACCAUUGUAUGCAUUGGAAACUGGUAGACUUGAGUGCAGGAGAGGAGAGUGGAAUUCCAUGUGUAGCGGUGAAAUGCGUAGAUAUAUGGAGGAACACCGGUGGCGAAAGCGGCUCUCUGGCCUGUAACUGACACUGAGGCUCGAAAGCGUGGGGAGCAAACAGGAUUAGAUA
rnacentral:rRNA from 1 species